UAGACCGAUAGCGAACAAGUAGAGUGUCGAAAGAUGAAAAGCACUUUGAAAAGAGAGUUAAAAAGCACGUGAAAUUGUUGAAAGGGAAGCGCUUGCGACCAGACUCGCUCGCGGGGUUCAGCCGGCUUCGUGCCGGUGUACUUCCCCGCGGGCGGGCCAGCGUCGGUUUGGGCGGUCGGUCAAAGGCCCUCGGAAGGUAACGCCCCUAGGGGCGUCUUAUAGCCGAGGGUGCAAUGCGACCUGCCUAGACCGAGGAACGCGCUUCGGCUCGGACGCUGGCAUAAUGUCUAAACGACCCGUCUUGAAACACGGACCAAGA
rnacentral:rRNA from 1 species